rnacentral:rRNA from 1 species
GAUGAACGCUAGCGGCAGGCCUAACACAUGCAGGUCGAGGGGUAUAGUUCUUCGGAACUAGAGACCGGCGCACGGGUGCGUAACGCGUAUGCAAUCUACCUUUUACAGGGGAAUAGCCCAGAGAAAUUUGGAUUAAUGCCCCAUAGUGUUAUAGAAUCGCAUGGUUUUAUAACUAAAGUUCCAACGGUAAAAGAUGAGCAUGCGUCCCAUUAGUUAGUUGGUAAGGUAACGGCUUACCAAGACAAUGAUGGGUAGGGGUCCUGAGAGGGAGAUCCCCCACACUGGUACUGAGACACGGACCAGACUCCUACGGGAGGCAGCAGUAGAGGAAUAUUGGACAAUGGGCGCAAGCCGUGAUCCAGCCAUGCCGCGUGCAGGAAGACGGUCCUAUGGAUUGUAAACUGCUUUUGUACAGGAAGAAACACUCCCUCGUGAGGGAGCUUGACGGUACUGUAAGAAUAAGGAUCGGCUAACUCCGUG